rnacentral:rRNA from 1 species
UGAGUAAUGUCUGGGAAACUGCCUGAUGGAGGGGGAUAACUACUGGAAACGGUGGCUAAUACCGCAUAACGUCGCAAGACCAAAGAGGGGGACCUUCGGGCCUCUUGCCAUCAGAUGUGCCCAGAUGGGAUAGCUAGUAGGGGGGGGGUAAUGGCUCACCUAGGCGACGAUCCCUAGCUGGUCUGAGAGGAUGACCAGCCACACUGGAACUGAGACACGGUCCAGACUCCUACGGGAGGCAGCAGUGGGGAAUAUUGCACAAUGGGCGCAAGCCUGAUGCAGCCAUGCCGCGUGUGUGAAGAAGGCCUUCGGGUUGUAAAGCACUUUCAGCGAGGAGGAAGGUGGUGAACUUAAUACGUUCAUCAAUUGACGUUACUCGCAGAAGAAGCACCGGCUAACUCCGUGCCAGCAGCCGCGGUAAUACGGAGGGUGCAAGCGUUAAUCGGAAUUACUGGGCGUAAAGCGCACGCAGGCGGUUUGUUAAGUCAGAUGUGAAAUCCCCGGG